rnacentral:rRNA from 1 species
GUCAGGGAAUUACAAGCAAAGCUUAAAACCCAAAGGACUUGACGGUACCCCAUAUCCCCCUAGAGGAGCCUGUCCUAUAAUCGAUAAUCCCCGUUUAACCUCACCACGUCUAGCUUAUCAGCCUGUAUACUUCCGUCGCAAGCCUACCACGUGAGCGAAGCCUAGUUAGCCCAAUGUCCACACAUAUACCAAUAUCAACAAUACGUCAGGUCAAAGUGCAGCAAACGAUGUGGGAUGAGAUUGGCUACACUUUUUAACUUAAAAGAAACGGAAAACAACAUGAAACUUUGUCAGAAGGUGGAUUUAGCAGUAAAAAAAAGAUAUAAAAUUUCUUUUAACUCGGCACUGGGGAUGUGU